UCCCCAGCAGGCCUGCGGCCGCCAGAGGGCGACGCCACCCAGCUUGCGGCCACUCACGUCUCCGCACUGCUGGGUGUCCGCGGCCAGGACGCUGGCGACCGUCUUGGUGACGGCGACAUUGGCAGGCUUGGAGCAGGCGCCGAGAAGAACAGAGUUGGAGGGAAUCAUUGCUGUGAGAAGCUGACAGAGGUGGAUGACAAGCUUGAAUUUCCAGAGGAAAUAGGUUCUGGAAAAGAAGUGAAAUCAUUAGAAAGGUGUUCUAAGCAUGUUUCUAGCCUGAAGGGGAGCAGCAAUCAUCAGCAAUCUAAUAAUAAAACUAGUAUUCAAGAGUUCAGGCCGCGAACCAAGUAAGAACUCAAGAAUCUAAGACACUUAAAAAUCAUAAAGAGAAGCAGAAGAAGAGAAAAUCCAAAGAUAAGUUUAUAGAAUGUGGAAUGCCUUACAAGCAAAAUAACAAUUCAGUACAGUAUGUAUAAUCACAACUCACAGCAGAGCAACUGGUCUUGUGAAAGUAUGCUUAUGGGAAUGACAAAAGAUCUGAUAUUGGUAAAAGUAUGCUGAAAGUAAACUUACGUGAUAACCCAGCUUCACACAAUAGGAGUGGAAGUGUGACCAGGUUGAUUUGCCAGAAUAUGCUGACACAGACAGAAAGAAGAAGACAAGAGCUACAUCUCUUGGAGGAAACAAUUAGUGAUUAGGCCUCUAUGCUGAUUUGUAUCUGAAUCGGGUGAAGAAUGUAGGGAAGAUAAUUUGCCUUAUUGGUUUAUCUUAUUUUAAAUUUUUAUUAAAACACUCAGUGAUUUACUUAUGUGUUUUCUAUUCUGUUCAAUAAGAUUGCUCAGUUUUCUCUAGGUGCAUACUGUUUUAAACAAUUUGGCAGUUCUUCAUGGUAGAGCUUAUUCUUAUUAAGUGCUUUUGCCAGUUAUCAAAUAAAUGAUAUGCUUCUUAAAGUAAUGUCCUUUGGAGGUCAAAUGGUUGUCAAACGAAUUCUUUUAUCGUCUAAAUAAUAUGUCCUCAUAAUUUAAAAUUUAUUUCAGUGGCCAACCACAAAAUCACAUUAAUUGAUUAUUUCAAUAUUUGCAGUGCUUGAAAACAAUUGCUAUAGAGAAUGUCAAUCAAACACAAUAUUCUUUGAAAGAAUUAUGAGGCAAAAGCAGCCACUCUUCUCCAGUGAUUGCAUUUAUUAUUUAUUUAUAAUUUAAUUUUAAGAUAGUUCCAUGGGAAACAGUUAUUCAUUCUAACAAAGAGUAGAGAGAAUCAUAAAUAAUAUAAUGCAGUAAAUUAUGUGCAUAUUUAAAAAUAUUUAAGCAUAUAAAGCAAAAUGAGUUUAAUAUACUUCUAUGUAUGUAUAUUACUAUGAGGUUUACAUUAAUAGAACACUUUGCUCUUUAUUCUUUAUAUAAUACCUAUUUCCAUUAUGUAACCUCUUUUAUAAAAUUAAAUGACAACUAGCUCUGC